rnacentral:rRNA from 1 species
UACGAAGGGGGCUAGCGUUGCUCGGAAUCACUGGGCGUAAAGGGCGCGUAGGCGGCCAUUCAAGUCGGAGGUGAAAGCCCAGGGCUCAACCCUGGAAUUGCCUUCGAUACUGUCUGGCUAGAGACCGGAAGAGGUAAGUGGAACUGCGAGUGUAGAGGUGAAAUUCGUAGAUAUUCGCAAGAACACCAGUGGCGAAGGCGGCUUACUGGUCCGGUUCUGACGCUGAGGCGCGAAAGCGUGGGGAGCAAGCAGG